rnacentral:rRNA from 1 species
GACGAACGCUGGCGGCGUGCUUAACACAUGCAAGUCGAACGAUGAAGCUGGAGCUUGCUCCGGUGGAUUAGUGGCGAACGGGUGAGUAACACGUGAGCAAUCUGCCCUUGACUCUGGGAUAACUGCGGGAAACUGUAGCUAAUACCGGAUACGAGGCUCGAAGGCAUCUUCGGGUCUGGAAAGAAUUUCGGUCAAGGAUGAGCUCGCGGCCUAUCAGCUUGUUGGUGAGGUAAUGGCUCACCAAGGCGACGACGGGUAGCCGGCCUGAGAGGGUGACCGGCCACACUGGGACUGAGACACGGCCCAGACUCCUACGGGAGGCAGCAGUGGGGAAUAUUGCACAAUGGGCGAAAGCCUGAUGCAGCGACGCCGCGUGAGGGAUGAAGGUCUUCGGAUUGUAAACCUCUUUCAGUAGGGACGAAGCGAAAGUGACGGUACCUAAAGAAGAAGCACCGGCUAACUACGUGCCAGCAGCCGCGGUAA